rnacentral:rRNA from 2 species
AAAUUGAAGAGUUUGAUCAUGGCUCAGAUUGAACGCUGGCGGCAGGCCUAACACAUGCAAGUCGAACGGUAACAGGAAACAGCUUGCUGUUUCGCUGACGAGUGGCGGACGGGUGAGUAAUGUCUGGGAAACUGCCCGAUGGAGGGGGAUAACUACUGGAAACGGUAGCUAAUACCGCAUAACGUCGCAAGACCAAAGAGGGGGACCUUCGGGCCUCUUGCCAUCGGAUGUGCCCAGAUGGGAUUAGCUAGUAGGUGGGGUAA